rnacentral:rRNA from 1 species
GGAAGGCGCAGCUACCAUGCAGUCGAGCGGGGAAGGUAGCUUGCUACCGGACCUAGCGGCGGACGGGUGAGUAAUGCUUAGGAAUCUGCCUAUUAGUGGGGGACAACAUCUCGAAAGGGAUGCUAAUACCGCAUACGUCCUACGGGAGAAAGCAGGGGAUCUUCGGACCUUGCGCUAAUAGAUGAGCCUAAGUCGGAUUAGCUAGUUGGUGGGGUAAAGGCCUACCAAGGCGACGAUCUGUAGCGGGUCUGAGAGGAUGAUCCGCCACACUGGGACUGAGACACGGCCCAGACUCCUACGGGAGGCAGCAGUGGGGAAUAUUGGACAAUGGGCGCAAGCCUGAUCCAGCCAUGCCGCGUGUGUGAAGAAGGCCUUAUGGUUGUAAAGCACUUUAAGCGAGGAGGAGGCUACUUUAGAUAAUACCUAGAGAUAGUGGACGUUACUCGCAGAAUAAGCACCGGCUAACUCUGUGCCAGCAGCCGCGGUAAUACAGAGGGUGCAAGCGUUAAUCGGAUUUACUGGGCGUAAAGCGCGCGUAGGCGGCUAAUUAAGUCAAAUGUGAAAUCCCCGAGCUUAACUUGGGAAUUGCAUUCGAUACUGGUUAGCUAGAGUGUGGGAGAGGAUGGUAGAAUUCCAGGUGUAGCGGUGAAAUGCGUAGAGAUCUGGAGGAAUACCGAUGGCGAAGGCAGCCAUCUGGCCUAACACUGACGCUGAGGUGCGAAAGCAUGGGGAGCAAACAGGAUUAGAUACCCUGGUAGUCCAUGCCGUAAACGAUGUCUACUAGCCGUUGGGGCCUUUGAGGCUUUAGUGGCGCAGCUAACGCGAUAAGUAGACCGCCUGGGGAGUACGGUCGCAAGACUAAAACUCAAAUGAAUUGACGGGGGCCCGCACAAGCGGUGGAGCAUGUGGUUUAAUUUCGAUGCAACGCGAAGAACCUUACCUGGCCUUGACAUAGUAAGAACUUUCCAGAGAUGGAUUGGUGCCUUCGGGAACUUACAUACAGGUGCUGCAUGGCUGUCGUCAGCUCGUGUCGUGAGAAUGUAGGAUUAAGUCCCGCAACGAGCGCAACCCUUUUCCUUAUUUGCCAGCGAGUAAUGUCGGGAACUUUAAGGAUACUGCCAGUGACAAACUGGAGGAAGGCGGGGACGACGUCAAGUCAUCAUGGCCCUUACGGCCAGGGCUACACACGUGCUACAAUGGUCGGUACAAAGGGUGUGCUACACAGCGAUGUGAUGCUAAUCUCAAAAAGCCGAUCGUAGUCCGGAUUGGAGUCUGCAACUCGACUCCAUGAAGUCGGAAUCGCUAGUAAUCGCGGAUCAGAAUGCCGCGGUGAAUACGUUCCCGGGCCUUGUACACACCGCCCGUCACACCAUGGGAGUUUGUUGCACCAGAAGUAGCUAGCCUAACUGCAAAGAGGGC